GAUGAACGCUGGCGGCGUGCUUAACACAUGCAAGUCGAGCGAGAAAAGUUCUUCGGAGCUUUUCUAGCGGCGGACGGUGAGUAACACGUGGGCAACCUGCCUCAUAGAGGGGAAUAGCCUUCCGAAAGGAAGAUUAAUACCGCAUAAUAUUGUUGAAAGGCAUCUUUUAACAAUCAAAGGAGCAAUCCGCUAUGAGAUAGGCCCGCGGCGCAUUAGCUAGUUGGUGAGGUAACGGCUCACCAAGGCGACGAUGCGUAGCCGACCUGAGAGGGUGAUCGGCCACAUUGGAACUGAGACACGGUCCAGACUCCUACGGGAGGCAGCAGUGGGGAAUAUUGCACAAUGGGGGAAACCCUGAUGCAGCAACGCCGCGUGAGUGAUGAAGGUCUUCGGAUUGUAAAGCUCUGUCUUUAGGGACGAUAAUGACGGUACCUAAGGAGGAAGCCACGGCUAACUACGUGCCAGCAGC
rnacentral:rRNA from 1 species